GAAAAGAAAAAAGAAAGAAAGAAGAAGACAGAGGAGAGGGUGGAGCGUUGGAGACGAACGAUGGAGCUUGAAGCACUCGUUAGCAAUGGUGGGCCGAACAGUUGAGGAAGGGAGAAUGUAGACGGUUAUUGUUGAGGGAAGUUGGUGAGUCCUUGUGAAGAAGAAGACAUGAGGUGUUGAGAGGAAAGAAAGAUCAAGAAGAAGGUGGGGAAGAAGAGGCCGAAAACUGAGGGGGCACGACCUGACCCGACUCGACCCACCUAUACAGAACCGAAACCCAAUUUGUUUUCCCAUUUCACACCAUCUGAUUCGUCUUUAUUCAGAUUUAGGUACUUGACUCACACAUUUCAUAAAUGCCUUAUUAUAGGAAAAUUCCAAGCUUAAUCAAGGGGACACUUGAAGACUCGAUAAAGUUUUGGAAAGUCUACGAUCAGGAGAAAAGUAGAUCUGGGUCGAUGGCGGAGACAGGUGGAGUCGUGCAGUUGCAAAGGGG